UACGGAGGGGGUUAGCGUUGUUCGGAAUGACUGGGCGUAAAGCGCGCGUAGGCGGAUCAGGAAGUUGGGGGUGAAAUCCCGGGGCUCAACCCCGGAAUGGCCUUCAAAACUCCUGGUCUUGAGUUCGAGAGAGGUGAGUGGAAUUCCGAGUGUAGAGGUGAAAUUCGUAGAUAUUCGGAGGAACAUCAGUGGCGAAGGCGGCUCACUGGCUCGACACUGACGCUGAGGUGCGAAAGCGUGGGGAGCAAACAGG
rnacentral:rRNA from 1 species